rnacentral:rRNA from 1 species
GGCGUGCCUAAUACAUGCAAGUCGAGCGAACCGAUUAAGAGCUUGCUCUUAAGAAGUUAGCGGCGGACGGGUGAGUAACACGUAGGUAACCUGCCUAUAAGACUGGGAUAACUCCGGGAAACCGGGGCUAAUACCGGAUAACAUUUUGCACCGCAUGGUGCGAAAUUGAAAGGCGGCUUCGGCUGUCACUUAUAGAUGGACCUGCGGCGCAUUAGCUAGUUGGUGAGGUAACGGCUCACCAAGGCGACGAUGCGUAGCCGACCUGAGAGGGUGAUCGGCCACACUGGGACUGAGACACGGCCCAGACUCCUACGGGAGGCAGCAGUAGGGAAUCUUCCGCAAUGGACGAAAGUCUGACGGAGCAACGCCGCGUGAGCGAUGAAGGCCUUCGGGUCGUAAAGCUCUGUUGUUAGGGAAGAACAAGUGCUAGUUGAAUAAGCUGGCACCUUGACGGUACCUAACCAGAAAGCCACGGCUAACUACGUGCCAGCAGCCGCGGUAAUACGUAGGUGGCAAGCGUUAUCCGGAAUUAUUGGGCGUAAAGCGCGCGCAGGUGGUUUCUUAAGUCUGAUGUGAAAGCCCACGGCUCAACCGUGGAGGGUCAUUGGAAACUGGGAGACUUGAGUGCAGAAGAGGAAAGUGGAAUUCCAUGUGUAGCGGUGAAAUGCGUAGAGAUAUGGAGGAACACCAGUGGCGAAGGCGACUUUCUGGUCUGCAACUGAC